rnacentral:lncRNA from 1 species
UUUCCCCCUUCAGCCGCUCUUGAAUCCUCAAGCGCUCUCAAGGCUCGCCGGAACCCUAGCCUCUCUCUACCUUGUUCCACCGUGUUUUCACCGGAGUCCAUGAUUUCUCUGGCCAUGGACAGCCUAUACCUACCUCCUAUGGCUCCUGCAUGCUUGUUUCGAAGAUUCAAGGCCAUACCUCGAGGUUCUUCACUCAGACUCUCACUGAUUCGAGGAUUCCGUCCUUGCUCCGAUAGUUCUUGGUCUUUUUGUGCCUGAUUAUGAUAUUAUCCAACUUAGUUUGGAUAUAUUCGAAGCCUUUCUCAUCUCUAGGGUUCCUCUGAAAUCCUAACUAUCGAGGUUCUUUCCGAUUAUUUUUAGAUAUGUAGCACUAUUGCUUACGUUUCUUAAAUGUUUUCUCCGAUUUUUCUUUCAAAAAUCACUUCUUUUCGGUAAGGGUUUCUGAAAGGCUCUUAAAAAACUGUUUCUAACUCUUCUUCUUCUUUUCCUGAUGUGAAUCGAUCCUUACUAUGUUCUUAUUUUCUUUUUUCUGACUCGCAUGCUCUUUCGUAUAUUCUUAUGUUUUCUGUAUUAUGAAGUUUUUUCUAUUAUGCUUCGUUCUAUAUCCUACUGGUUUCAAUACCAUGCUCUCACAUGCCUAUCUCAUGUGUUUCUCUACUGUGUUUUCCUACUGAGAUUUAGUCCUUUGGUUGCCUUUGCCGGACUUUACUUAGAUUAUUUCUAGAUGUGUUUUAUUGACUGUUUCUUUAAGUUUACACUACCUGAACUCAUUUAAAUUUCAAGCUCUUUCUUAAAACUUGUUUCCUGUACUAAUUUCUAUGUUCUUGUUGCUUUUAAACUUGCUAUCGUACUUGUGUUCUUCUCAUGAGACUCUGAAAGAGGUCUUUGAGCCUGCCUCAAUAGCUUGCCUUUUCAUCUCUGUAUCAAAUUCGAGUUUAAAAACCCUAGGAUUUGGGGGAUUUCCUUGGUAAAUUUGGUUUUGUGUUUGGACAAGGGUUCUACUUUUGAAACCUUGAACUCUCAAACUCACUCAGAGUUUAUGAAUUGAAUUUGAAUUUUUUCUGCAUUUGUGAUUUUGAAAACUUCUUGCUUGACAUGUCUAUGUGUUUUAUAUAUGAGAACUUAUCUUUCAAGAGCUUUGCCAACUGUUAAUUGAUUCUGAAUCCCUUUAAUGUUCCUCAUUUGAUUGUUAUUGAUUUUUUCCUAAAUUAAAGCUUUCCUUUACUUCUUUUCUGACUCGAACAAGGCUUUCAAUUUGAUUCUUUACUGGCUAUUUAUUGAUUCCCUUUCAUUGUUUUCAUAAACCAAGUACUACAUGAUUUUUACCUUAAAUGUCUUCUAUGUAUUUACCCUUAUUUUGCCUGCUUUGUACGAGAUAUUUACUUGAUUUCCUUCCUUAAAUAACUUCUUCCCAUUACUAUUUGAAUUUGGACUCCUUAAUUAAAGGAAGUCUAUAUGCUGAUUCAUUUUAAUGGGUGCAUAGUUCCUUAAUUGCUACUAAAUUGUGAUUCUUGCCUUAUUUUCUACACUCGUUUUCAAUUAUUAAUACCAUGCUCUUACAUUAACACAGAGAAGACUUUAAGCAUCACAACUCUCUUUUAAAACCUACACUCUUGCUUCUUGAUUGCAUUUUGGCUUUCUGAAAUCUACUGUUUCUCCAACUUGCUUCUAUAAACUGGUAUGUCCUACUUUUUAUUAUAGCAUCAAAUCUAAUGUGUUUACUUACAAGCUUUUACGCCAACGCCUACUUUACUGCUUUGUAGAGUUCAACUUUAAAAUAAUUGUUUAUGUCUUGCCGUUUAUUGCUGCAAUGAAUCCCUAUCCCCAUUCCCUUUUACGUGCUUGGGCUGUAAUUUAAGACAUGACAAUAUACAAAUUUGUUGUCAUGGAUUAAUAUUGGGUCCUUUGGAUCCUAGCCUUUUUCAAUCUCCCAUACCCCCAUUCCUUAUGUGUAUAGAGUUAAGGUAUAGCCUGGCAGUAUCUAAAUUGUUGUCCAUGGCAGAACCUGACCUUCAAAAGGUCCUAACUCUAUAAUUUUUAAAGCUAACAAGCUGGUCAGGGGUGUGCCAGCAGCCCAGUUGUUAGGUAUGCCACCAGCCUGCCUUGGAUCCCCCCCCCCCAAUUCAUUUUCGCUGAAUUUACACUUACUCCUAGUCAUUAAGUCUUGUCCCCCUCUUGUGAGCCUUGCCUGGGACCUUGAGUUCCCUUUGAACUUGGACACUCGAGGGCAGGCCCUUCUACACUACAUUAUAAUUUGUUCUGUAAUGAUAUUUUGGGUGUAAGCACUGCCUAGAACUCUUGAAGUUCCUUGGAACUUUGACACAUCUCAAAUAAGAGAAAGGCUUUGAAAAUCCGACCCUGGAAGUUGGUUUAUCUCAUAUUAUUAGACUUUAAGUCUAGAUUAGGCUGAUUAGAUGUAGAUGUAAUCACUGAUGUAUUUUUUUAUUAUUUCUUUUGAUUCACUCGGUCUAUAAUAAGUUUUGUAAUAAUUUGUAAACAACUAAUUAGGGUUAUAGUGAAAUUGGGAGGAGGUUGUGCAAGCUUAGUUUAAAUAACGGGUAGAUACCAUGCCUAUAGGAUGCAUACUUUUCAAAUUCCGCCUAGAAACCAUGUCUAUAGGAUUAAUACUUUCAUUUCUGCAUUUUUCACAUAGAAACCAUUUCUAGAGGAUAUUUACUCUUUCAAAUUCUGCAUUCUUCACAUAGACACCAUGUCUAUAGGAUUAAUACUUUCAAAAUUCUGCACCUUCACCUGGAAAUCAUGAUCAUAGGGUUAUCACUUUCAAAAUUUUCAUUCUUCAUAUAGAUACCAUGCUCAUAGGUUUUCUUCAUCUUCUAAUAUAUACCAUAUCAAUAAAUCAUUGCUGAAAUUCUGUACAUUAUAGAUGACAUGCCUAUAGGAUUUCCUGCAAUUUUUGCAUGUGCAUCUGUCAUUAGGAAAAUUUACUUAUAGGAUCUAAAAUAAAUCAAUCACAUCUAUGAUCUUCUUGGAGCCAAAUUCCACAUUCUUCAUGUAGAUACCAUGCUCAUAGGUUUUCUGCAUCUUGUAAUAUAUACCAUAUCAAUAAAUCAUUGCUGGAAUUCUGUACAUCAUAUAGAUGACAUGCCUAUAGUAUUUCCUGCGUUUUUUGCGUGUGCAUUUGUCAUUAGGCAAAUUUACUUAUAGGAUCUAAAAUAAAUCAAUCACAUCUAUGACCUGCUUAGAGGAUUCUUACAUAACCAAAUCCGUAACACAUAGAAAGCAUGCCUAUAGGAGUAAUCAAUCAGAUCUGAAUUGCUCACUCGCCUUUUAAGAUCAGUAGUAAUUCGUUUAAAUGCUCGCAUAAUUUAUUAGUAAUUUUGCAAUCAACUCGUUCUCCCCCCGUCUAUGAAUUAAUAGAUAUCAUGCCUAUAGACCCUGUUUAACGCAGAUAAAUAGUUAGAUAAUUAAUCAAUCGUCAGUUUUUUGCAAUUACAUCUAAGUAGGACUAAUUCGGACUCCCAAUUUGGAAAAUAUGUGGUAGAUCAAUUCUUCAUACGCUAAUUUUAAUCAAGGACCUAAAGAAUAUAUGUAAGACGUGCUAAACAAUUCGUUUCUUUAAGUGAGGGGGCCUACUUGAGCUUUUAAUUGCUUUUAUCCCUCCAUUAGCUGCUUUAUGUGUUUUGAUUGUUGCCCUAGUAUUUUAUCCUUUUUAAAACCUCUGAAAAGCCAAAGCUCCCCCCUUUAGGAUUAGUAGUCUUAAACGCCUCCAGUACUGAUAGGUGGGACGAGUAAUAUCAUGCUGUAGGUAACGAUACCAUUCCGCGCUUAAUACCUUAACGGGGUGGGAAGGGUAGUCAUGGAGAUGAUGAUCACAUGAUAACACUACGAGUACGAUUGGUUACUGGUGUUGUGUAGAUGAUCCAUGUGUUUCAUAAACUUAGGACCCCUCUCUUUAUGUAACUUUGUUUAAUAUCGAUAAAUUCUGUCUUUUCAACUACCCAAAACUCCCCUUUAAUUUUACUGCAUUAUUCUUUUUCCUUCUAAAUUUCUUCUUCUUUGUUUAUUCAAUGUCUUGACUGAUUUUCUGCAUCUAGACACUCCCUCAAACAAAUUGUGGACUCCAAUAUGCUUGUCACGUAUCUAUUUGCAACACUUACGUGUGAAUUUUUUUGUAUAUUUAUUUGCAUUAAAAGUCAUAAUUGUAACAUGGUAAGGACCACACUAGUGGAUCUUAGGGGUGCCUAACACCUUCCCCUCGAGAUAAUUUCUAGUCCUUACCCAAACUAUGGUUUCUUUAACUCAAACCCUUUUUAACGUGUUCUAAUGCACUAUAAUCAUUAGGUGGCGACUCUUCAAUUUCAAAAACCCAAUUCUUGAAAGGGAAUAGAGUUAUCAUCCCAAAUGUCAUAAACCCGAUUUCAACUCUCUGAAAGAGGGGGCGUCGACACCAAGUUGUUGAGUUCAUCUCAAUCACACAGAUCACUAAGAACCCAAAACCUAAGAAAACCAAUAAGAUGGUACCUACCUACUAAUCGUUACAAGCUAAAAAUUGAUGGAGCUUAUGAUAAAAACAAUCAAAUUAGUGGCACUAAUACAAUCAUCAGAGACCAUAAUGGCAAUUAGAUAGUGGGAUUCACGCACAAGGCAGCUACAAUAAACGCUCUCCACGCUGAACUGCUAGGACUAAUGGCUGGACUACAACUAUUCUUCACAAAAAAUCUGUUUCCCACUGUAGAGGAAACAGAUUCACAUGUAUUAUGUAACUUAUUUAAUGAUGAACAAUUUCACUACUCACAUCUUCUUCAUGGCUGCAGUUUUCUUCUUGAUGCUUUUGGAGUGGCAGAAAUAGUACAUAUAUAUCUGGAAGGCAACACUGUAGCAGACACUUUGGCCAAGUAUGGAAGCACCAGACAACAUAUAUUAACGGACAAAGAUAACAUUAUGUAAUGGAAAAUACUUUCGAUUUUUAUUUUACCAGUUUUUAUUAACGACAAAUUAAAGAAAAUCACAAUGUAAUUUAUCCCAUGCUAUGUAAUAACUAAAAUUUCCAAUGCUUUUAAUAUAAUAGACUCUCCUUUUCU